rnacentral:rRNA from 1 species
UACGGGGGGGGCAAGCGUUGUUCGGAAUUACUGGGCGUAAAGGGCUCGUAGGUGGCCAACUAAGUCAGACGUGAAAUCCCUCAGCUUAACUGGGGAACUGCGUCUGAUACUGGAUGGCUUGAGUUUGGGAGAGGGAUGCGGAAUUCCAGGUGUAGCGGUGAAAUGCGUAGAUAUCUGGAGGAACACCGGUGGCGAAGGCGGCAUCCUGGACCGACACUGACGCUGAGGCGCGAAAGCGUGGGGAGCAAACAGG